rnacentral:rRNA from 1 species
GACGAACGCUGGCGGCGUGCUUAACACAUGCAAGUCGAACGGUGAAGGGGUCUGCUUUUGUGGGCCCUGGAUGAGUGGCGAACGGGUGAGUAACACGUGAGUAACCUGCCCCCUUCUUCUGGAUAACCGCAUGAAAGUGUGGCUAAUACGGGAUAUUCUGGGUCUGUCGCAUGAUGGGUCUGGGAAAGAUUGCGCCUUUGGGUGUUUUUGGUGGGGGAUGGGCUCGCGGCCUAUCAGCUUGUUGGUGGGGUGAUGGCCUACCAAGGCGGUGACGGGUAGCCGGCCUGAGAGGGUGGACGGUCACACUGGGACUGAGACACGGCCCAGACUCCUACGGGAGGCAGCAGUGGGAAAUAUUGCACAAUGGGCGCAAGCCUGAUGCAGCGACGCCGCGUGAGGGAUGGAGGCCUUCGGGUUGUAAACCUCUUUCGCCAGUGAAGCAGGCCUGCUCCUUGUGGGUGGGUUGACGGUAGCUGGAUAAGAAGCGCCGGCUAACUACGUG